rnacentral:lncRNA from 10 species
CAAAGAAUCAGACCAGCACUGUAUUUCCAGCCUCUUUUCCCAUUAGGGAUAUACACGGACCUCUGAGUUCAUCUGAGAAGCUCUUACUGGAAAGCUGAUGCUAUGUGCAUAUGGCUAUGCCCAGGAAGAUUACAUUUGGCCAAGACCUCCUCAUGGCAGGACGCAGAAACAGUGUUAUGCUCCACAGCUCCCAGAAUUACCAAAACAGGAGGAGGAGAAGGAGAAAGAGAACAGAGAAAGAAGGGGAAGAAAAGGAGGAAGAAAUGGGAGGACGAGAACAGUUAUUAUUGAUUAAGCCCCUACUAUGUACCUGGUACUUUACACAUGUUGUUUUAUUUAAUCGCCACAAAAUUUUAAUGCCGCAGGUAUGAAGCUCCCUGUUGUACACCUGAGAAAACUGAGGCUCAUAAAUUACUGACUUUGUACCCAUAUCACACCAUUAGAGAAUGGUGAGACUGGGAUUUAAAUUCAGGUUCAUAGAACUCUGAAAGCCACGUUUUUCACCAUGACGCAGAACCAAGCAGAGUGGAGGGGUCAAGUUUAUACCACACAGCCGUGUGCUCACAUGGGAAGACCAGAGUCAGGUACCACGGAACGAGUCAUUAAAAGUCACCUGCUGGUGUAUCAAAAGUGACAGAAAACCUGGGGCUCUGGAAUCCCUGUUUUCUAUUUUGGAAUAUCCAGCUCAUUCUCCUAAUUCAAAGAACAAAUUUUCCCAAAAGUGCAUGAAAUCCCACUGUACAGUUUCAUACCAAUUCACACACACACUUCCUCACUGAGUGCGAUUUUUCUUAAAUAUACUAUUGGCACUUUCUUAAUAACUGUGGUCUCUUGGGAAAGUCAUGUGAAAAAUAUCUGUUUCUAUUUAAGACAGACAAAGGCAGGAGGAGAAAGGGGGCCCUCUCAUCCCAGUGGCGUGCUGCCUUUUCCUGCCCAGCAUUUCUUUCCACAACCGUUCGGGCCCGAGACAUGUGAUUCAUUACACUCCCUUUCGCCUUCUCUCCUUGAUACUUCAGGCCUGGCAGUUUGGAGGAAGAAGGAAGAGGGAGAGGGAGGGAUGGGAGACAGGAGGGUAUCGCUGAUAAGCACAAAGACCCAGCCAACUCCGGAAGCCCAAGCUGCACACCGCUAAGAGGAGCUGACUUCCAGCAACAUGAAAAGGCUUUGCUGAAAUAGCUGGAGAAUGGGUCCCUGUCUCCUGCCACUUACUCGCCCUGCUCCUGGUGUACGGCACACCGCAUGUGCUAAAGUGGAUUUCUCAUCCUGCUCCAAGUUAGCCAAGAGCAUCUGUACAACCACUGGGAAGUCAACUUCACUUCAGAUCUCGCCUGCACCUCUCCACCUUAUGGUCUGCCCAGGAGCUAAUGGAUUUGGAGAUGUAGCAGACCUGGAGCUAACUCUAUCCUGCCGCUUAUUAGUGAGGCAGUCUUGGGCAGAGAGAACACUGACUCAGUUGAAAGUGCUCAGAAAGUCUUGACCUCAUAGAAUUCUUGCAAGUAUUAAAUGAGAAAAUGAAUAUAAAAGACUCAGCAGAGCACGUGACAUAAAAUAAGGACUAAAGAAAGAGAGGAUGUUGUUGCUACAAAUAUUACUACCUCCAGUUGUCAAAAUCCUUUCAUCAUGCCAAAAGUUAAUCCAAAUGCAACCUCCAAGGUUAUUGUAUUUGGAAGCGCUCUUUCCCCUCUGAACUGUAGAGCUAAAUUGCAUAGAGGGGAUUUCUCAC